rnacentral:lncRNA from 1 species
UGUAAGGCUAAGGUAGCAACAAAAUAGUGAAGCAUAGCCAGAAAACAGUGAAGCUAGGCAGAAAAGUGAGUGUGCUGAGAGCAAACACUUUUGUGAGCCAAGUAAAAACGAGAGUCCUUGUAUUAUUCUGCGAGAUUAAUAAAGGUUGGGUUUUUACCCGUAAAUUGUGUGUGUUCUUACGUUUGGUUCAAGCCUGAAAGUUUCUAAGUAAGGCUGUGUUGUGCGCGAAAAAGGGAAGGCUGAAGUAGCUGCG